rnacentral:rRNA from 1 species
GACGAACGCUGGCGGCGUGCUUAACACAUGCAAGUCGAACGGUGAAGGGGUCUGCUUUUGUGGGCCCUGGAUGAGUGGCGAACGGGUGAGUAACACGUGAGUAACCUGCCCCCUUCUUCUGGAUAACCGCAUGAAAGUGUGGCUAAUACGGGAUAUUCUGGGUCUGUCGCAUGAUGGGUCUGGGAAAGAUUGCGCCUUUGGGUGUUUUUGGUGGGGGAUGGGCUCGCGGGCUAUCAGCUUGUUGGUGGGGUGAUGGCCUACCAAGGCGGUGACGGGUAGCCGGCCUGAGAGGGGGGACGGUCACACUGGGACUGAGACACGGCCCAGACUCCUACGGGAGGCAGCAGUGGGGAAUAUUGCACAAUGGGCGCAAGCCUGAUGCAGCGACGCCGCGUGAGGGAUGGAGGCCUUCGGGUUGUAAACCUCUUUCGCCAGUGAAGCAGGCCUGCUCCUUGUGGGUGGGUUGACGGUAGCUGGAUAAGAAGCGCCGGCUAACUACGUG